rnacentral:lncRNA from 1 species
CAGCCUCAACCUCCCUGGCUCAAGCGAUCUUCCUACCUCAGGCUUCCAAGUAGUUGGGACAGCUCUCUCUUCCCCUGCUGCAGCAAUUGUGAAAGCCACGCAUUUAGAUGGUGAAGCCACAAAAUGGAAACAGCCUGGAUCCCUGAGUCACCAGAUGCAGAAACAGCUGCCCUGAAAAGUUGUCCAUCUUGCACUAUACAUGCCCAUGUACGAGAAAUACAAGCCUUUUCUGGCCGGGCGCGGUGGCUCACGCCUGUAAUCCCAGCACUUUGGGAAGCCGAGGCGGGCAGAUCAUUUGAGGUCAGGAGUUCGAGAUCAGCCUGGCCAACAUGGUGAAACCCCGUCUCUACAAAAAAUAUAAAAAUUAGCCAGGCAUGGUGGCAGGCGCUUGUAAUCCCAGCUACUCAGGUGGCUGAGGUAGGAGAAUCGCUUGAACCUGGGAGGCAGUGGUUGCAGUGAGCCGAGAUUACACCAUUGCACUCCAGCCUGGGUGAUAAGAGCAAAACUCUGUCUCAAAAAAAAAAAAAAGGCCUUUUCUGUGGUUAAGAAAUGAGAAUCAAGUUUAAGAUAUUUGAGAUUUUUCUUUUUAUUAUUUUUUUCCUUAGAGGUAAUUGUGGGGUGGAGGUGGGGGUCUUGCUAUCUUGCCCAGGCUGGACUCAAACUCCUGGGUUCAAGCAAUCCUCCAGUCUCAGCCUCCCAAGUAGCUGGGACUAUAGGUACACACUACCACACCAGUUUCUUUGAGAUUUUUGUACAUCGG